rnacentral:lncRNA from 1 species
AGGGGAAUGUCUCUCUAUCAUUUUAAAGUUUUGGAUUUUUGUCUUAUUUUACUCAUUAUCACAUUUUGAGUGAUGUCUUCUGGCUCCAGCUCAGCUUCCUCCAGAUAAUUCAUUAGGCCUGUGAGCUGCUCGAGAGUGGGAUUAGAACCCGUGUAGUACAUGGUCGCUUUAAACUGAGAUCUGCUAAUUAAUCACUCUUCUCUGUGUAACUGAGCGAUAGCUCUCCUUCCCUAAGGAACUGCAAUUUCAUGGUUCCUAAUGAUGCUGCGAUUACAUUAUCUGGAUCACUUAGACGGUGGGUGUCAGGAGCGAUGCUCGAAGCCCGUCUCGAGGCUGGGGAGAAAUCACUCCUAAGACCAAGGAGAUGAGGAAAAGGAGUUCAAACGUCUGUUGCUAAUUUUCAUUAAUGUGUCGCUGUUUCUUACAUCUCAUGCAGACGUUAGUUUCAAGUUCCAAUAUCCUCCAGUUCCACCGAACCUCACAUUG